rnacentral:rRNA from 1 species
GAUGAACGCUGGCGGCGUGCCUAAUACAUGCAAGUCGAGCGAACAGACGAGGAGCUUGCUCCUCUGACGUUAGCGGCGGACGGGUGAGUAACACGUGGAUAACCUACCUAUAAGACUGGGAUAACUUCGGGAAACCGGAGCUAAUACCGGAUAAUAUAUUGAACCGCAUGGUUCAAUAGUGAAAGACGGUUUUGCUGUCACUUAUAGAUGGAUCCGCGCCGCAUUAGCUAGUUGGUAAGGUAACGGCUUACCAAGGCAACGAUGCGUAGCCGACCUGAGAGGGUGGUCGGCCACACUGGGACCGGGACACGGGCCAGGACCCUACGGGGAGGAGGAGUAGGGAAUCUUCCGGAAUGGGCCGAAGGCUGACCGGACAACGCCGGGUGGGUGAUGAAGGUCCUCCGGUCGUAAAACUCUGUUAAUAGGGGAGAACAAAUGGUGAAGGAAACAAGGACGUCUUGACGGUACCUAAACAAGAAAGCACCGCUAACCACGGGC